UGUACUAUAGUACGAAUCAUCUAUCAAAUACGAUGGAUAGGUUCGUAACGCAUGUUAUUUCCUUUAACUCGGUAUUAAUAUCUCGAAAAUAACAAACAAUUGAAAUUUUACAUAUUCCAUAGAAAUAAAUUCUAAUAUUUUUAUUAAUUCAAUCAAUGAAUCUCGAACGAACAGAUACAAAUCUUUUACACCGAACUCAUUUCCUAUUUUUAUACGUCAUAUCGUAUCCACGUUGAAAAAGAGAACAUAAAAACAUAUUAUAGCUUAAAGCUGUGUCUACGAGUCUUCACAAAUCAUCUCCCUUGACUUUGGAUGAGGUUUACAUAAAAACUUUUACUCUUUUUUGAGCUAAAUUUACGAGUUCGAAAUAAAAGAAGCGUAGGAUAACCGUAGAGAUAGGAAAAAUCCAUAGCAACAGAAAGCUAUGAAACAUGAAAAAUAAUAUUUUGACUAGAAGAAACGAGUCGAGACACAUUACAACCUAACGCGUUGAUUAGUGUUGAUUAAUCUUUCACGUCAUUUCAUCGAUCUUUCAUGUCAUUUUUCACGCGUUGUCACGUUUCUUCAGCUGGUCUAGAAAAAUCGAUGCAUUUGUUUUUACAAAACGUGAUGUUUAAUGAUCACACACGUAUAUCGAUCUCUUAUAAAUUCUAUUCAAUUUAAUAACAAUAUUAAUUUCUUUUUAUUUUUUUUUUAUUUUUUAAUGUAACGAAAUUUUGUCUAGUUGCCGAUUCAUUCCAUUUAACAUCCGACGCUGUUUUCGUCAACGGUUUUUCAGGUCUCCCCUACAAUAUCGAAAAGCAAAACAAACUUUUCCCCAACCCAAAGCUUUUCUGAUUUACACUUGAAUAAUCUCAGAUCAAAAGGCAUAACCAAAUAUGUGAUUUGUAUACCAACGAUACCGCACUUUUAAUAGUACGAACGUACGAAACAUACGGAACAGUUGGCUCUAGAAGGGGAGGUGAUCAUCUUCACAGAGAAGUUUCUUUGCCAAUUAAGAGAGUAAUAAGACGAGUUAAGGGCAAUUGGAGAAAUUAGUCGCGUGCAAUGGCUCGGGGAGACUGUCUUAUUGUCAUCAGUCUGGGAAUUUCAAAGGAAGACGCCACGAGAAAAGUGAAAAAGAACGAGAAUAGAAGACAAGAAGGAAGAUAUAAAAGACGAGAAAAUACAAAGAGAAGGCAGUACGUUGACGCAGAAAUUUAUACGAACGUCAGAAUGUAGGUCGAAAAAUAGAAAGAAAGGCAUCUUCGACAAGCUGAAUAGCAUUAUUAAAUGUUCGAUUAAACUUGGUAAGGUGGCAGAUUUUCUCCGCAAAUGAGAGUCAUUUAAGGAAGAUUGUGAAUCACAUUCGAUGGCCGUUGAAAGGCAAGAUUAGUCGAAAACAUUAUUCAUUGAAAAUAAAGAGAAGAUCAUAUUCUAAUAUUCCUUUCUACAAAUUCGAAAGUAUACUCAUAUUGAGUAAAGAAUAUAAAAAAAUGAAAAAGUGACUUUAUCCUUAAAAAUAACUAAAUUUCUCUCACGAGAUGAUGAUAAUUAUAUUCUAUUUAAAAAUAUUUGAGAAUAGAUGAAACGAAUAAUCAGAAAAUUUAAGAUGAAAAUAAUUUGUAAAUAAUAUUUAUCGAGAAUCUUUAAAAUGUUCCAAAAUUUUAACAUUAAGGACGAAUAAAUAUUAAAAAGAUAAUAAUACUCUUAGGCUUGUAAAUCGACGAUCAAGCCGAUAUCGGUCUAUUAUUACGUGUUUUUUAACGUUACUAUGGAAACCCUUUUGCGAGGUAAACUCGCCUCGAAGAACGUAAACGCUGCCCUCACGGUGCACUCACGAAGGGUGUUCGCAACCCCGUAACGAUUUCCUUUUCCAACGUUAAACCGCAUGACGUCAAACUGUGCACCUGGCAUCGAUGAGGAACUCAUUAAAGGACGAUGAAUGAACAAAAAAAAAAAAAAA